rnacentral:rRNA from 1 species
GAUGAACGCUGGCGGCGUGCCUAAUACAUGCAAGUCGAGCGAACAGACGAGGAGCUUGCUCCUCUGACGUUAGCAGCGGACGGGUGAGUAACACGUGGAUAACCUACCUAUAAGACUGGGAUAACUUCGGGAAACCGGAGCUAAUACCGGAUAAUAUAUUGAACCGCAUGGUUCAAUAGUGAAAGACGGUUUUGCUGUCACUUAUAGAUGGAUCCGCGCCGCAUUAGCUAGUUGGUAAGGUAACGGCUUACCAAGGCAACGAUGCGUAGCCGACCUGAGAGGGUGAUCGGCCACACUGGAACUGAGACACGGUCCAGACUCCUAAGGGAGGCAGCAGUAGGGAAUCUUCCGCAAUGGGCGAAAGCCUGACGGAGCAACGCCGCGUGAGUGAUGAAGGUCUUCGGAUCGUAAAACUCUGUUAUUAGGGAAGAACAAAUGUGUAAGUAACUAUGCACGUCUUGACGGUACCUAAUCAGAAAGCCACGGCUAACUACGUG